GAUCCUGGCUCAGGAUGAACGCUAGCGGCAGGCUUAACACAUGCAAGUCGAGGGGUAUUAGUUUUCGGACUAAGAGACCGGCGCACGGGUGCGUAACGCGUAUGCAAUCUACCUUUUACAGAGGGAUAGCCCAGAGAAAUUUGGAUUAAUACCUCAUAGUAUAAUGACUCGGCAUCGAGAUAUUAUUAAAGUCACAACGGUAAAAGAUGAGCAUGCGUCCCAUUAGCUAGUUGGUAAGGUAACGGCUUACCAAGGCUACGAUGGGUAGGGGUCCUGAGAGGGAGAUCCCCCACACUGGUACUGAGACACGGACCAGACUCCUACGGGAGGCAGCAGUGAGGAAUAUUGGACAAUGGGCGCAAGCCUGAUCCAGCCAUGCCGCGUGCAGGAUGACGGUCCUAUGGAUUGUAAACUGCUUUUAUACGAGAAGAAACACUGCUUCGUGAAGCAGCUGACGGUAU
rnacentral:rRNA from 1 species